CCAAUAGCGUAUAUUAAAGUUGUUGCAGUUAAAAAGCUCGUAGUUGAAUUUCGGGGUUCUACCGUUGGUCGGGCAAUAGUCUGUACUGGCGUGUAGAAUUUCUACCUUCUGGGGAACCAUCAUGUUAUUUAUUUAGCGUGGUGGGAAACCAGGACCUUUACCUUGAAAAAAUUAGAGUGUUCAAAGCAGGCUUACGUCUGAAUACAUUAGCAUGGAAUAAUAAAAUAGGACGGUGGUCCUGUUUUGUUGGUUUCUGAAUCACCGUAAUGAUUAAUAGGGAUAGUUGGGGGCAUUAGUAUUCAAUUGUCAGAGGGGAAAUUCUUGGAUUUAUUGAAGACUAACUUCUGCGAAAGCAUUUGCCAAGGAUGUUUUCAUUAAUCAAGAACGAAAGUUAGGGGAUCGAAGACGAUCAGAUACCGUCGUAGUCUUAAACAUAAACUAUGCCGACUAGGGAUCGGACGAUGUUAAUUUUUCUUGACUCGUUCGGCGCCUUACG
rnacentral:rRNA from 1 species